CAGGGAGACAACAAAAUGUUUAAUAUUAUUAUUUUGUCACCUUAGGUCGAUCGGUAUCUCACGUUCUUAAUUAAUUAAGAAUUUCAUUUCCUAAGUUUUUCUAGGUCACACCCAUAUUUUUCCUGGGCCAUUAGCUCAGGUGGUUAGAGCGCACCCCUGAUAAGGGUGAGGUCCCUGGUUCAAGUCCAGGAUGGCCCAUAUCUCUAUGUUGGGGGUAUAGCUCAGUUGGUAGAGCGCCUGCUUUGCAAGCAGGAUGUCAGCGGUUCGAGUCCGCUUACCUCCACUGAUUACCACCUCUUACAUAAUCUGUAGAAAGGAAAUUUUUUGAGUUGUGAUCAAAUUCUGAACGAAUCUAGCUUCCUAAUGAAAUCAUUAAGAUGCUGGACUCAUUGAAUUAAUUUCAUUGUUUUCAGAGAACCUUGACAACUGCAUAGAUUAUUUUUAAAGACAAUAAGCAUCUUUUAAUGAUGCAGAUUUAUUAUUUGUGCAAAUGCAUUAAUAACAAUUCUAUUAAGCUGAUGCUUCAAUUUUGAAGUUAUU
rnacentral:tRNA from 1 species